GCCUGCCCUGUGACCCCUGGUUUAACGGCCGCGGUAUUUUGACCGUGCAAAGGUAGCGCAAUCACUUGUCUCUUAAAUGAGGACCUGUAUGAAUGGCAUGACGAGGGCUUAACUGUCUCCUUUUCCCGGUCAAUGAAAUUGAUCUUCCCGUGCAGAAGCGGGAAUACUUGCAUAAGACGAGAAGACCCUAUGGAGCUUUAGACACUAGAACAGAUCAUGUAAACUACUCCCUAAACAAGUAAUAACUAUUGAAUCUCUGUUCCCCUGUCUUUGGUUGGGGCGACCACGGGGAAGAAUAAAACCCCCAUGUGGACUGGGAGCACAAAUCUGACUCCUACAAUUACGAGCCACAGCUCUAAAACGCAGAACCUCUGGCCAGUGAGAUCCGGCAAUGCCGAUUAACGAACCUAGUUACCCUAGGGAUAACAGCGCAAUCCCCUUCAAGAGUCCAUAUCGAC
rnacentral:rRNA from 1 species